ensembl:lncRNA
GGGUGUUGUGUCCAUGGUGGGCAUGGGGGCAACAGCGCAACAGCUAUAUGUCAGCACUGUUGUAGUUUUAGUUAGUGAUUGGUUACUGCUGGUCUGGCCACCACAACUGAGUGAAUACUCCAAAGUAUUGUUUACAGAGACUGAGGUAAAGACCCUGACUGUUCAGAAGAAAAGACAGCGCAUUCUCUAUUCUCAAGAUCAUCUUCGUGAAAGUAUCCAUGGGACGACUGCUGAAGAAACAAGAGGAACUAACAGAGAAAAGCAAAGGAAGUAGGACUGCACUCUACCUGAAAAGCUGAUGUCCUAAAUGACUGAUGUAGAAGCAGGUAAGCAUAAAAGAAUACUGGAUACAGGACCCCAAACCUCCAGUAGACCAAGAGAAAGAAGUUUAAACCCUUGCAAAUACUGGGCCAAAUACAGCCAUAUCACAGGCUAAGUCAAGUCUACACAUGCCAUUGGACACAGCUAAGAAGAAAAUGAGCUUCAGCCACUGUGCCUUUCCUCCGUUCUCUGAAAGGGCAGAGGUUCUGGCAGACAGAACUUUUAGCAGAUUCAAGAGGGCGAAUUUGACAACAAUUCACAGUGAGUAGAUGCACAUUAAAGCAAAGGAAAUUUGUUUGCUUCAAGUAAAGAGUGGACAGUUUCACUGCUAGUGCUGAGGACAAGUUGUAUUCAGAAAACAGCCUCGUUUCCUUUGCCUUGUGUCUUGUGCAGAGGCUUCUUGCUGUACAUGGACUGUGAAGUUUAUGGCUAUGGGGAUUUUAGAACUAGAAGCAUCUCUGACAACCCAGUUGCAUUGUUUUUUUCUCUAUUUUAACAGCAGAUCUUUUUCAGUAGGCGGUGUGAAAAGAAUUGUUUUCAAUUAUUCUUGGCUACAUUUUUUCCCACAGAUUCUGACUUAAUUAGACUCAUUAACAAGACCAAGCAACAUAUUGUCUGUGGGAAAAGAUUUCAGAUGAGAGAAGACUGUUAUACCAUUUUAUUCAAAUCCUUCUGCCAGGAAAAAGCAACUUGACCAAAACAGGGAGGCUUCCAAGAAGUGGCUGCAUUGCUCCUGAAGCUGUUUUUGGAGAGAACAGGGUUUAUUUUUGCCAAAAAAAUGUAACUGUUUUUGUUGAAAAUAUCUGCUUUGCUUUCUAAAAUGUACUUUGUCCACAAAUAUUGCUAUCGGUAGGUCAACUCACAGUGAUCCCACUAGGAAAGACAGAUGCUUCAAGAUUAAUUCUUCAGAUGUAUUUUUUUGCUUAGUGGGGACCCAUAUGGAUGUAGAGACAGUGCACUGGGCGGUAUCCUUUCCUCAGCGCCUGUGCCUGCUAUGGGAGGCCACCCAGCUCUGUCACAGUGGGGAGAAGACAGAAAAGCAAAAAGAACAGAGGAGAGGAAAAAGGAUAGAUAUAGAAAAUUAAUGCUCGGGAGAGGGAUUGCUAGUUCUUUAGGGGAUUUCCAGCACACAGUCUAUGGAAAAUUUUUAUCCACAUCCAAACUGGUCAGAAAUUUCUUUCAGGAACUGCCAUCACUAACCCUGAGGCAGCUGGCAGCUGCAGCACUCUUCAGGCUGCACCAGAGAUAAGGAACCCAAACUACACAUGGACCCUUAAGUGGAGGAAGGAGGGACUUGCAGAGGGCUCCCAGGGCUUCCCAUUCUUUCUGGUCCAUAAACAACAGAGCACUUCUCAACUGUUGAGUUGCUAAGAAUACUCCUUUUGCAUUUAGCAUCAUGAUGACCUUGGAAUGACUAAUUUACGAGGACCACGAACUUGUUCAUCUCAGACAGUUCUGUAGGUAUCCAAGAGAGGAUUUUUAAAGAAACACUACCAAAAUUAAAGGAUGUUUCCAGAUAAAUGGCCAUUAGGUACUCAGCCCCAUAGUUCUUCAGUGCAAGGAAUACUGUGACUGUGAGUGAAUAUGCCUUAAAAUAUGUCAGCAGAGUAACUCUGUUACUGUUGUUAACAGCAUUAUAUGGGAUUCAGCACCUAAAUAUUGUGUCUCAGAUGUGUGGGAAAGGAUGGCUGGAGAGAAUUGGGUGGAGCUCAGCAUUCUCAUAAUUCUCAUGUCUUGUCCUGAGCAGUAAUGAGAGUGGCUCUGUAGGCUGAAUCUUGAAAAAGAAAGAAAGAAUAGGCUUUGAUUGCUAUGGCAAGUGUAAAACCUUGUGAAUAAUGUAGAUAAUUUGUGGACAUUUGAAGUGAAGAAUAACGUAUGUUCCACUGGUUAGCUUUCUUAUUGCUCCAUACAAGUGCCAUGGCAUUUUUUCAGCAGCAAAUAUUUGUAGAGAUCUAUGUCCCAAAAAAGAACUGGAUUACAGUUUUUAUCUUGUUGUUGCUGUGCUUUAAGAGCCUUUCUAAGUACCUUCUAAGCAAAAUAGAUUAUAAUCUUCAUUCUUCUAGGGCAGAGCCUAAGCAGAGAUCUGUGCUCAGUUGCAUCUUUAGAUGCAUAAUGCAGUACAGCUUAAAUACAUCCAUGUACUCUAAAAGUGUUACUGAUCCUAAGAAACAUUUGUUGGCUUUACUUCGGCAUGAUUAUAUUCAUCAUUUUCACUGUAGGCAAUAGGUUGCAGGGUAUGCUUUAAUCUUGCAUGUGGUCACAGAAUAAUUUGAAAGGGUGUCCAGAAUAGAGUUAAUCUUACCAUUUUGUACUGAGAAAGGACUCACUGUACUCUGGUUAACCUUGACUAAUGUCUGUUUAACCUUGUGUUUACCUCAAAUUUAAGAAACUAUGUUUGGUAUGUAUUUUCUUAGUGAGCAGUGAGGAUGCCACAUCUUGAGGUGCUGAUACCUCUGCUGCUUCCUCUCAUCUGCUGGAUGGAGGGACUUGCUUCAUCUCCCCUUGUCUCACCUUGGAAGUGCUGGAGGUCCUGUGUGCAGGUGAAUGGGAGCUGGAAGGGCCAAAAUCUUUUACCUCAGCUCUGCUUGUUCCUGUCUAUAAAUAUAUAAAAGUUGAUUAUGUCUCAGGUCCUUUUCUGAUGUGGACACUUGGUAGCUGCACCAUCACUGCCACAUGCCCUUCCUGCACAGGGGAACCCUCCAACCCUUCAGUCACACAUUAUUUUGUCUGUCCCUCUAUUCAGUAACCAAACAAAGUUAAGUUUCUUGGAUACUUUUAGAGUUGAAAAUGUUUGUGAAUUUUCGACUUCAAACUUUCUGAAAAUCAGUGCUAUUUCCCUUCCCUUCCUCUACUGCAGACAGCAGAAUACAGAGGACAGUAGCAAACUUCAUGUACCAAUGGGCAGUGACUGUUGGUGCCCAUCCAGUUCUUUGGAUGUAUUAUACAUGGAACUGCUGUUAACAUAUAAGCAGGUAAGAUUUCUGCUUCUGUCCACUUUUUUUGCAUGUCAUCCCACUGAAUUCUGACCAGCUUUCCAAUUUAUCAGGACCAUUUUGAAUCUUAAUUCUGGUUUCAUGACUGCUGUUACACUUCAUAGCUCAAUGUGCACUGCAAUUUAUGCAUGCGUACAGUCUUAUAACAUUUAAGUUAAUGAAAUAACUGACAGACCUCUGACUGAAAGACCUUCCUAUCUGUAGAGCUGAG